rnacentral:rRNA from 1 species
ACGGAGGAUCCAAGCGUUAUCCGGAUUUAUUGGGUUUAAAGGGUGCGCAGGCGGAUCAAUAAGUCAGGGGUGAAAAAUUUCAGCUUAACUGGAAUCGUGCCUUUGAUACUGUUGGACUAGAGUAUAAUUGACGUGACUUUAAUGUGAUGUGUAGAGGUGAAAUGCUUAGAUAUGUCACAGAAGGAAAAUCGUGAAGAAGGGUAAAUAAAUUAUUACUGACGCUCAUGCAAGAAAGGGUGGGGAUCAAACAG